CGAAUACUUUUAGUUUUCACACUCUUACUUUAGUAAAAGUGAAUAGAAAUCUAUGAAAUCUUAACACAAGGUUUAUGACCACAAAAGGAAGGUUGGGAUUGAAUUUGGGAGUUUUGAUCCCAACAUUUUAGGAAUUAGGGGCCAAAAAGGGGCCCAAAUAAGCAUUUUUCUUGGUUUUCACACCAUAACUUUAGUAUAAGUAAAUGGAAAUCUAUGAAAUUUAAACACAAGGUUUAUGACCAUAAAAGGAAGGUUGGUAUUGAUUUUGGGAGUUUUGGUCCCAACAGUUUAGGAAUAAGGGGCCCAAUGGGUCCAAAAUUAAACUUUGUUUGAUUUCAUCAAAAAUUGAAUAAUUGGGGUUCUUUGAUAAGCCGAAUCUAACUGUGUAUGUAGAUUCUUAAUUUUU
rnacentral:lncRNA from 1 species